UACUACUGUCUAGACACAUCCUCAAAUGAAAAAGUCAUGUGACAUGAAGUGUGACAGUGACACACCAGCAGGAACCAGGCUGUAGUACGUACGCCAAGUGAUGCUGUAGGACAGCUAACAUCUUCACUGGCUCUUGAAUCAACUGAGCUUCCCUCUUGCUCUCCAUCUUUAACUUCUCACAGCUUAGUUGUUGACAUUACAGGUCCGUGUUUCUUCAGUGUGUAUAGUGCUCCACUUUUAAGUCCCAGAGCACUUCCCUUUCUCAUUGUCUCUGUGUUGAGUGGGGAUGGUAGAGUAGGAGGAGCUCUAGACAUCUGUGUUAAGUGGGGAUGAUAGAGUAGGAGGAACUCUAGACUUCUCUGUAUUGAGUGGGGAUGAUAGAGUAGGAGGAGCUCUAGACUUCUGUGUUGAUGGGGAUGAUAGAGUAGGAGGAGCUCUAGACUUCUCUGUAUUGAGUGGGGAUGAUAGAGUAGGAGGAGCUCUAAUUUGUGUUGAGUGGGGAUGAUAGAGUAGGAGGAGCUCUAGACAUCUGUGUUAAGUGGGGAUGAUAGAGUAGGAGGAGCUCUAGACUUCUCUGUAUUGAGUGGGGAUGAUAGAGUAGGAGGAGCUCUAGACAUCUGUGUUGAGUGGGGAUGAUAGAGUAGGAGGAGCUCUAAACUACUCACUAGAAAGUUUGGGUUCUAGUUCAGGAUCUGACAUAUGUAGCUACCAUUAAGUCCCAAGGGGCUCAUUUUUCUCAGUUGUAAAAGUAAUGGCUUAUAUAGCACAGUACCCAAAGUCCCUUUCAGUUCUCAUAGAUCUCAUGGUAGUUGAGAAUAUAAAAAUCAAAUAACAGGAUUUAAGUUUAACUCUACAACUUAUUGACUAUAUCACCUUGGGAGAGUCACUGUUUCUAUGGCUGAAAUUUCUUUGUUUUCAGCUGAGGAUUAUAGUAGUUCUUUGUUCAUAGAUUAUUGUGAGGCAUAAUCAAGAAACACAUAGUAUGUGGGAAAUUCCUAAUACAGUGGAUAUGUAGUAGUACAUGGUAAGAACUCAGUGAGUAUUUGUUUCUGUUUGUCCCAGAAAGACAUCAUAUUAAAAAAUGAUACAAGCAGGUUAGGGAUUUAGUUCAGUGGUAGAGCGCUUGCCUAGCAAGUGCAAGGCCCUGGGUUUGAUCCUCAGCUCAAAAAAAAAAAAAAAAAAAAAAAAAACAGUAAAAAGAAAAAAAUGAUACGAGCUUUAUUUUGUAAAUGAGAAAACUUGAUUUCACAAGUGUAUCAAAGGGAGAAGUUCUGGGUCAACACGAUGGCUCAGCAGGUAAAUGCACUUGCCACCAAGCCUGACAAUGUCAUUUAAUUCCUGGAAUCCACAUAGUGGAGGAGAGAACGGACUCUCACAAGUUUUCCUCUGAUUUCCAUACACGGCUGUAUCUGUAUAUAAGCACACACAUACACAAAAUCAAUCCCUCAGUAAAUGUGCUAUACAACUCUUAAGGGGAAAAAACCCAACUUUAAAUAAAAAUAAUAUUUAAGAAGACACCUUUUUUUUGCCAGGCAGUGGUGGCACACACCUUUAAUCCCAGCACUCAGGAGGCAGAGUCAGGUGGAUCUCUGUGAGUUCGAGGUCAGCCUGGUCUACAGAGUGAGUUCCAGGACAGCCAUAGCUGUUACACAGGAAAACCCUGUCUUGAAAAACUAAGAGAAGAGACCUUUUUGAGAUGCUCUCCAGUCUGUCUUGGCAUUUCUGUUGCUGUGGUAAAACAUCACAAUUGAAAGCAACUUGAGAAGGGAAGGGUUUAUUUCACCUUAGUUUAUAGUCCAUCAGUGAGGUAAGCCAGGGCAGGAAAUCAGGUAGGGACCUGGAGGUAGGACCUGGAACAGAAGCCAUGGAGUUGGGAUACUUACUGGCUUGCUCAGCCUGCUUUCUUAUGCACUCCAGAACCCCUUCCCUAGGGGUGGCACCAUCCCCAGUGGGCUGAGCCCUCCCACAUCAAACACUAAGGAAGUGGCACACAGAUGUGUCUGUAGGCAAAUCUGUGGGGGCAUUUUCUCAGUAAUGGCUUCUUCCCAAGUGACUAGCCUGUGUGAAAUUGAUAUGAAAACUGACAGGCACAGAGUCUUUAGAAAAGACUUGAACUCUGUGUCCUUAACAUAUGAAAAGGUAGGCACAUUAAGUGAGGUGAUAGUCCUAAAAACCAGGUUCAAGAGUUGGAGCCCGAGUUGGAUUUUGAGCACUAGCAAGAAAAUACAAUUCCAUUUUCAGGUGUUGAGACUAUGAGAGCUUAGAAAGUUUGUUUCUGUUUGCCUACCAGCUUACUGAUGUCAGCAAAACACAUGAUUUACAGAGCCUUGAAGAAUGUAACCCUGCCUGAGGAAGAAGAUAAAUACCAAAGUGUACAAUCGGGGAGAGUAGUGCUGUCUGUUUGUUAAGCAUCACAUAGGGCCUCACCUUUUCCUUCAGAAUGAAAGUCAAUAGAAUCGUUACUUUGUUACUUUAAGAUGCUUUCUAAGUAUAGUCCCCAGGUUCUGCGCAGGCCAGGUUUCUGUGGAUGAAAUGACUGUGUCCAUCAAAGGAUCUCAGUUACACAUCUCUUGUUUUUGUGAUGGUAGGAAAGUGGGUAAUGGCUCUAGGUGGUAUAAAAAAAUGACGCUGUUUGAAAAGUGCUCUAAGCAGCUAUCAUCAGUAUUGGCUGGCAUGGACAGUGGUUAGCUAGCCAUCAGUGGUACCAUCAGAUGAUAUGCAAGUUGGGGACAUCAGGCAGGCCUGUGGUUUAAUACAGUUUCUUGGGCUUUGGUUUACCAAAUGCAGUUAUUCUUUCAAUGCUGACUCAACAAGUUGCCUACUGAUUGACAAAUGAGAAUAA